rnacentral:rRNA from 1 species
GACGAACGCUGGCGGCGUGCUUAACACAUGCAAGUCGAACGGAAAGGCCCUGCUUUUGUUGGGUUCUCGAGUGGCGAACGGGUGAGUAACACGUGAGUAACCUGCCCUUGACUUUGUGAUAACUUCAGGAAACUGGGGCUAAUACCGGAUAGGAUCUCCUGCUGCAUGGUGUUGGUUGGAAAGUUUCGGCGGUUGGGGAUGGACUCGCGGCUUAUCAGCUUGUUGGUGGGGUAGUGGCUUACCAAGGCUUUGACGGGUAGCCGGCCUGAGAGGGUGAACGGCGACAAUGGGACUGAGAUACGGACCAGACGGCAACGGGAGGCAGCAGUGGGGAAUAUGGCACAAUGGGAGGAAGCGUGAUGCAGCAACGCGGCGUGCGGGAUGACGGGGUACGGGUUGUAAAAAGAAGUCGAAUGUGACGAGGAGUGAGUGACGGUAAUGGGUAAAGAAGCACCGGCUAACUACGUG